rnacentral:rRNA from 1 species
GUGUCAGCAGCCGCGGUAAGACAGAGGAGGCAAGCGUUGUUCGGAAUCAUUGGGCUUAAAGGGCGUGCAGGCGGCGGCGCAAGUGUCGAGUGAAAUCCCAUCGCUCAACGAUGGAACGGCUCGGCAAACUGCGUCGCUUGAGGUCGGUAGAGGUGCUCGGAACUCUAGGUGGAGCGGUGAAAUGCGUAGAUAUCUAGAGGAACGCCUGAGGCGAAAGCGGGGCACUGGGCCGAUUCUGACGCUGAGACGCGAAAGCGUGGGGAGCAAACAGGAUUAGAUACCCCCGUAGUCC